rnacentral:rRNA from 1 species
CCUACGGGCGGCAGCAGUGGGGAAUAUUGGACAAUGGGCGAAAGCCUGAUCCAGCCAUGCCGCGUGUGUGAAGAAGGCCUUCGGGUUGUAAAGCACUUUCAGUGGGGAAGAAAGCCUUGGGGCUAAUACCCUCGAGGAAGGACAUCACCCACAGAAGAAGCACCGGCUAACUCCGUGCCAGCAGCCGCGGUAAUACGGAGGGUGCGAGCGUUAAUCGGAAUUACUGGGCGUAAAGCGCGCGUAGGCGGUCUGAUAAGCCGGUUGUGAAAGCCCCGGGCUCAACCUGGGAACGGCAUCCGGAACUGUCAGGCUAGAGUGCAGGAGAGGAAGGUAGAAUUCCCGGUGUAGCGGUGAAAUGCGUAGAGAUCGGGAGGAAUACCAGUGGCGAAGGCGGCCUUCUGGACUGACACUGACGCUGAGGUGCGAAAGCGUGGGUAGCAAACAGGAUUAGAUACCGAGUAGUC